rnacentral:rRNA from 1 species
AUUGAACGCUGGCGGCAUGCCUUACACAUGCAAGUCGAACGGCAGCACGGGUGCUUGCACCUGGUGGCGAGUGGCGAACGGGUGAGUAAUACAUCGGAACAUGUCCUGUAGUGGGGGAUAGCCCGGCGAAAGCCGGAUUAAUACCGCAUACGAUCCACGGAUGAAAGCGGGGGACCUUCGGGCCUCGCGCUAUAGGGUUGGCCGAUGGCUGAUUAGCUAGUUGGUGGGGUAAAGGCCUACCAAGGCGACGAUCAGUAGCUGGUCUGAGAGGACGACCAGCCACACUGGGACUGAGACACGGCCCAGACUCAUACGGGAGGCAGCAGUGGGGAAUUUUGGACAAUGGGCGAAAGCCUGAUCCAGCAAUGCCGCGUGUGUGAAGAAGGCCUUCGGGUUGUAAAGCACUUUUGUCCGGAAAGAAAUCCUUGGCUCUAAUACAGUCGGGGGAUGACGGUACCGGAAGAAUAAGCACCGGCUAACUACGU